rnacentral:rRNA from 1 species
UACGUAGGGUGCGAGCGUUAAUCGGAAUUACUGGGCGUAAAGCGUGCGCAGGCGGUUCGUCGUGUCCGAUGUGAAAGCCCCGGGCUCAACCUGGGAAUGGCAUUGGAAACUGGCGGGCUUGAGUAUGAAAGAGGGUCGCGGAAUUCCCGGUGUAGAGGUGAAAUUCGUAGAUAUCAGGAGGAACACCAGUGGCGAAGGCGGCGACCUGGGCCAAUACUGACGCUGAGGUGCGAAAGCGUGGGGAGCAAACAGG